AACGAACGCUGGCGGCAGGCCUAACACAUGCCAGUCGAGCGAGGACUUCGGUUCUAGCGGCGGACGGGUGAGUAACGCGUGGGAAUGUGCCCUUCUCUACGGAAUAGCCCUGGGAAACUGGGAGUAAUACCGUAUACGCCCUAUUGGGGAAAGAUUUAUCGGAGAAGGAUCAGCCCGCGUUGGAUUAGGUAGUUGGUGGGGUAAUGGCCUACCAAGCCGACGAUCCAUAGCUGGUUUGAGAGGAUGAUCAGCCACACUGGGACUGAGACACGGCCCAGACCCCUACGGGAGGCAGCAGUGGGGAAUCUUAGACAAUGGGGGCAACCCUGAUCUAGCCAUGCCGCGUGAGUGAUGAAGGCCUUAGGGUUGUAAAGCUCUUUCAGCUGGGAAGAUAAUGACGGUACCAGCAGAAGAAGCCCCGGCUAACUCCGUG
rnacentral:rRNA from 1 species